AUGGCGAAGNGCUUUCUGUCAUNAAUACUGACGACUGAGGCUCGAAAGCGUGGGUAGCAAACAGGAUUAGAUACCCUGGUAGUCCACGCCGUAAACGAUGAUCUACUAGUCGUAGAGUNCCUUCCNNCACUUAGUGACGCAGCUAACGCAAUAAGCAGUCCGCUGGGAGUACGGCCGCAAGGUUAAAACUCAAAUGAAUUGACGGGGGCCCGCACAAGCGGUGGAGCAUGUGGUUUAAUUCGAUGCAACGCGAAGAACCUUACCUGGUCUUGACAUAUCUAGAAUCCUGCAGAGAUGCGGGAGUGCCUUGGGAAUUACAAUACAGCAGCUGCAUGGCUGUCGUCAGCAGCGUGUCGUGAGAUGAUGGGUUAAGUCUCGCAACGAGAGCGCACCUUGUCCUUAGUUACCAGCGCGUUAAGCCGGGCACUCUAAGGAUACUGCCAGUGACAAACUGGAGGAAGGCGGGGAUGACGUCAAGUCAUCAUGCCCCUUAUGACCAGGGCUACACACGUGCUACAAUGGUAGGUACAGAGGGCAGCUACACAGCGAGGUUAAGCGAAUCUCAAAAAACCAAUCGUAGUCCAGAUUGCAGUCUGCAACUCGCCUCCAUGAAGUAGGAAUCGCUAGUAAUCGCGGAUCAGAAUGCCGCGGUGAAUACGUUCCCGGGCCUUGUACACACCGCCCGUCACANCACGGGAGUUGAUAACACCAGAAGUCGAUAGGGUAACCUUCGGAGCAGCGUACCCCAUAGAGUUCUGC
rnacentral:rRNA from 1 species